rnacentral:rRNA from 1 species
AGGACGAACGCUGGCGGCGUGCUUAACGACGAUGCAAGUCGAGCGGAAAGGCCCUUCGGGGUACUCGAGCGGCGAACGGGUGAGUAAUACGUGAGCAACCUGCCCUUAGCUCUGGGAUAGCUCCGGGAAACCGGAAUUAAUACCGGAUAUGACCUAGGCCGACAUCGGCCGUGGUGGAAAGUUUUUCGGCUAGGGAUGGACUCGCGGCCUAUCAGCUAGUUGGUGGGGUAAUGGCCUACCAAGGCGACGACGGGUAGCCGGCCUGAGAGGGCGACCGGCCACACUGGGACUGAGACACGGCCCAGACUCCUACGGGAGGCAGCAGUGGGGAAUCUUGCGCAAUGGGCGAAAGCCUGACGCAGCGACGCCGCGUGGGGGAUGAAGGCCUUCGGGUUGUAAACCCCUUUCAGCAGGGACGAAGCGAAAGUGACGGUACCUGCAGAAGAAGCGCCGGCUAACUACGCGCCAGCAGCCGC